UACGUAGGCAGCGAGCGUUGUUCGGAGUUACUGGGCGUAAAGGGUGUGUAGGCGGUUCUCUAAGUUUGGUGUGAAAUCUCCCGGCUCAACUGGGAGGGUGCGCCGAAUACUGAAUGACUUGGAGUGCGGGAGAGGAGAGUGGAAUUCCUGGUGUAGCGGUGAAAUGCGUAGAUAUCAGGAGGAACACCGGUGGUGUAGACGGCUCUCUGGACCGUAACUGACGCUGAAACACGAAAGCGUGGGUAGCAAACAGG
rnacentral:rRNA from 1 species